rnacentral:hammerhead_ribozyme from 1 species
AUCCUGGUGACGGGUCGUAAAUAGGACGAAACGCACGUCCUGAAU